UCGUCCUACGGGAGGCAGCAGUAGGGAAUUUUCGUCAAUGGGCGCAAGCCUGAACGAGCAAUGCCGCGUGAACGAGGAAGGUCUUCGGAUCGUAAAGUUCUGUUGAAGGGGAAAAAGAGCGGAAAGAGGAAAUGGUCUCCGAUUGAUAUUACCCUUCGAGGAAGUCACGGCUAACUACGUGCCAGCAGCCGCGGUAAUACGUAGGUUGCGAGCGUUAUCCGGAAUGAUUGGGCGUAAAGGGCUCGUAGGCGGCCUGCUAAGUCUGGCGUGAAAGUUACGGGCUAAACCGGU
rnacentral:rRNA from 1 species